rnacentral:rRNA from 1 species
AUGAGCCUGGCCGCCGCUCUUGGUGGCGCCAUCGACGACGCAUGUGGCUCGUGGCCUCCGAGGUUGUUGGUGCCGCUGCGCGCCGGCGUGUGGUUGGUGAGUUGCUGCCUUCCCGCCGUGUGCAUGUGCUGCCGCUUGCAGCUGCCUCGCAUCUGCUGCUUCGCUGCUACGUGCAUGAGGGAGCUUGGUGGCUGGCCGCCAGCGUACGUGCUGCUAGCUGCUGCUACUUUGCUGCUUGAGAGAUGGCAUGCGGGCGAGCCGGAGAACGAACGGUGCGCACCUGAAGUUGGAGGUGCUCAAGCACUACGCCGGCAGGCUGCUGCAGCUGCUCGAGUCCUCCGCCGGCGUGCUUCGAGUUCUCCAUGGCUGCGUGCCUGUGUAUGGGAGUAUGGAUGUGUGAGACCUGGUUGGUUGCUAAUAGCCGGUACCGGACUGCUGAUUGUUCACAAAGCAGGGGCCUGCAGCACCCUCCUCGGUGUCCGCUUUGCGAUCAAGAGCCCGAUAAUGCUCCUAAACUGUGUGGUGACUCAGUCGGCUUGGUUCGAGAUACUUGGAUGGUGGCGCCUCGCUCCCUGUGUUCCGGAUGCGACGUCAGAGAUCAUAAACUGGUCGACCAACCUUGCUACGGUACAACAUGAAAAGAGGGAUCUCUGGACAGGGGUGAUUCUUAUGUUCUGGUGCACGUGGACUCGUCGCAACAACGUCAUCCUCAAUGGAGCCCGACCUUCCUCACAUGCCAUCAUCGACGUUGUUCGUCAAGAAGGUCUGGGAGAUGCUGAUAACAAGGCUACAUUACUUAUCCGAGGCCGGUUUCCGGGUGAUUACGUGUGGGACCCCAUCGUCAGUUCGAUGUGGCGGAUGCGCCCGGGCGUGCCGAGACGCCCAUAUCCACCUCAUAUUUGGGCUGAAUAUGAAGGCUGCCGUAAUCGGUCCGUCUACCCAAGCGUUGGAGAUGGUUUGAAGCGCCCGGCUGUAGAUGCUCAAAGCUUUUCAGCUCAAAACUCAAAACUUCGUAUUCGAAAAGCAGCAGAGAAAACAAAGGCCUUCGUGUCGUUGCCACUAACUUGUGAUGAAGAAAUCUUGCUGCAAUCCCCCGAUUGCUAG